AUGUUGACCAUGUCUACACAAGACCAUGUCUUGCUCAGCAAGAUGGCGCCCAUGAGUGGCUGUGCGUCUGCUAGGCUCCUGAUCUGUUUUGGUUACUUGUUGUUUUUUAUUGUUUUUUCUCUAUCUGGUGCGGAGUCCCUGCUAACAUAUGAUCGAGACUUACUGUUGUCGAUCAGGUCCGCGAUGAUCAACCUCCAGAACUCCGAUACCGGACCGGCUUUCCCACCGCCUCUGGAACCUGGCGUUAACCCAGAUCUCGGCCCUCUGUUACCUGUGGGCCUGCCGCUUCCCCGGAGGCCAUGGAAGAGGAAACGGGGGAAGAGAGCCGGCUUCUUCGUUCAGCUUCGAAAGAUCCGGAGAGGCGAAGCUCUGCCUGAUUGCUGCUCCGCGGCUGUGUUGUGGCGGAUCCAACAGAAACUUAACGGAGUUGGGUUGAUCUUGCUGCUAAAUGGAGCCCCUGAUGCGGGACGCUACCUGAAGGCGUGGGAGACAAAGAACCUCCGCGGGCGUAGCCUGGAGUCGCUACGUAGCUUAGCCCGCCAGCCGCCCGCCAUUAACGAGCCCGCGGCACACACAUCGCCAGAUUCCUCCGCGAAAAUGAUGUUGAUUAACGCGCGCAAGUCUCACAUCCUCAACGAUCUGUUCCGGACCAAAAAAUUAAACUUUUUGUGGAUUUCUGAGUCGUGGCAGCGCGAAAAUGACGUCACUCAUCUCCGUGAGCUCUGUCCUCAAGACUGCUCUUUCUUCUCUGCUCCACGAACCACAGGCCGCGGUGGAGGAACAGCUGUUAUCUUUAAGAAACACUUUUCGUGCCAAAUUAUAUCCUCAAACUCCUACAGCUCAUUCGAGAUGAUCAUGAUUAAAAUUGGUCGAGUUCAACCAGUUUAUGGAAUUCUGGUCUAUCGCCCACCUGGAUCUACUUCAUCCUUCCUGUCUGACUUUCAGGAUCUCCUAUCUUCAACUAUUAAACUAGACAGGAUAAUCAUUGUUGGAGAUUUCAACAUCCACGCUGAGGAUCUAUCUAACAGCUCCACUAGGGAGUUCCUAAACAUGAUGAACUCUUUUAACUUCUCUCAACACGUGUCUGGUCCCACUCACAGAGCAGGCCACACCCUGGAUCUGGUCUUUUCCUACGGACUUCUUGUUGAUAAGCUGCAGAUAAAUGAUGUUGUGUUCAGUGACCAUAAGUCAGUUUCUUUUCAUAUUAACCUAAAUUCUGAAUCUCUUUUACCAGACUCUGCCAAGCAACGACGUAUUAUCAACAGUUCUACCAUUUUAAAUUUCUCCUCCCUCUUUGACUUUGUACCUCCUUCCUCUGAUGACGUAGAGCUCCUUACCAACUCAUUUAAUGAUCACUGCCUCAAAAUUCUAGAUCAGGUCGCCCCUUACAAAACCAGCCGCAGUUCCAGUGCCUCCAGUUCACCCUGGCUGAACAACCAGAUUCUU
rnacentral:lncRNA from 1 species